CCCGUUGAUGAAGAGGAACUAAUCCAGUACAUCAUCACUGGAUUGGGUGAAGACUACAGCGAGGUGAUCUCCGCCGUGUGCGCACGGCCAGAACCCAUGACGGUGGGUGACCUCUACAACCAGGUCCUCAAUUUUGAGG
rfam:Oryza glaberrima chromosome 12 Oglab12_0062_10, whole genome shotgun sequence.